rnacentral:rRNA from 1 species
AAUGAACGUUGGCGGCGUGGAUUAGGCAUGCAAGUCGAGCGAGAACCCCGCAAGGGGGGACAGCGGCGAAAGGGACAGUACUGUGUAGAUUAUCUGCCCUCAGGUCCGGGAUAGCUGCGGGAAACUGCAGGUAAUACCGGAUAACAUCUCCGGAUCAAAGGUGUGAUUCCGCCUGAGGAUGAGUCUGCAUCCUAUUAGCUAGUUGGUGGGGUAAUGGCCUACCAAGGCAUUGAUGGGUAGCAGGUGAGAGAGCACGACCUGCGUCAUUGGGACUGAGACACUGCCCAGACACCUACGGGUGGCUGCCGUCGAGAAUCUUCGGCAAUGGGCGCAAGCCUGACCGGGCGACGCCGCGUGUGGGAUGAAGGCCUUCGGGUUGUAAACCACUGUCAGAGGGGAUGAAAUGCAGGUGGGUUCUCCCAUCUGUUUGACAUAGCCUCAGAGGAAGGACGGGCUAAGUUCGUG